UACGUAGGGCGCAAGCGUUAUCCGGAAUUAUUGGGCGUAAAGAGCUCGUAGGCGGUUUGUCGCGUCUGCCGUGAAAGUCCGGGGCUCAACUCCGGAUCUGCGGUGGGUACGGGCAGACUAGAGUGAUGUAGGGGGAGACUGGAAUUCCUGGUGUAGCGGUGAACUGCGCAGAUAUCAGGAGGAACACCGAUGGCGAAGGCAGGUCUCUGGGCAUUAACUGACGCUGAGGAGCGAAAGCAUGGGGAGCGAACAGG
rnacentral:rRNA from 1 species